rnacentral:misc_RNA from 1 species
AACGCACAUUGCGCCCCUUGGUAUUCCGAGGGGCAUGCCCGUUCGAGCGUCAUCAAACUCUCAAGCCCAGCUUGGUCUUGGGUGCGGCCCACCGGGGCCCUCCCCCAACUUGUUGGGCGGACCGUCCCAGCCUCAAGCGUAGCAGGAAACCCCUCGCUUCGUUGCUUUGGACGGCCCGCCCGGGAACCAGCCUUUAAAGUUUGGCCUCGGAUCGGGUAGGGAUACCCGCUGAACUUAA